UUAUCAACUCUAACCUAAGUAAAUGCUUUCGCAAAUGUUGUCUGCAGAUAGAAGCUGAAGGAACCACCUUGUGCAAUUGUCAUUAUUUUUUCUUCUUUUCUUCUGUCUAUAGAUGUUUGUUAAACAAGAAAAAAAGUACAUAAUUGUUUUUGAGGCCUAAGACAGAAAUACAGAAUCAUAUAAAAAGAAAAGAGCAUUAAGAAUAAGAAGCAUUAGCGGUAAUCCGAAGAUUCUUUGCUAGAUUGUGACUCGGGCGAAGAUCAUCCAAUAGUAUUUACCCGACGACGAUAUAAAUAUUAUUGACAGCGACGAUGAAUUUAGUGGUCGAUAUUUGUCGAUUUUACGUUACAUAACCAUGAGAGUUAACAAGGUGGCUGAGCGAGACAAUUGGGUUCGGUUCCAGAUUCCCGACUACUUUUAUCAGAGAGCAUGCAAGUAUUUGUACAUGUUUGUUCUUAGGGUAGGGAACUGAUCAGGGUGUUUAAAGUCUACGUGUCACAAUCGAGUCGACGCAGCAAGUCAACUUUUUCAAUUUCCCUCGAUUUGCAGGCAUAUAUUCUGGCGAACGUUCGAGGAACAAAUCGAGUCGUUCGUUGGAGGUUCACGCGUGAAAAAACCGUGAGAACGAGGACUGAGACACGUACGUGAAUCGAACGAGGAGACAGGAAGGCGAGUCUCGUUGCCUUCUCGUCGAUCGGCCCGGUCCAAGCGUUACAGGUGCACGGAGUCUGGGAGCGAACCACUCGUUAAACGUUCCACGAUGCACCUGCCGCGUGGCAUCAUUCAUUGCCUUUAUUUCUCUACUCUCCCCCUUCGCACAUCCCUCGUCGCUUCACCCUGGCUCAUCACCGUUUCCUUCUCUCUGUCCCCUACCACGUUGUACUUACUCGCACAUCACGUUCGUCCUUUUGCAUUCCACGCACGGUCCAUCGGAUCCACACCCGGCCAAUCUCGAUCGAUUCUCUCCACCCUGUGCGCUUCGAAUUUCCUUCGUUUUCGUCUCUGCUUCGAUCUGCCCCUCUUCUCUUCUCGCUGGAUCCUGCAUCGACCAUUCGCGUCGCGGACAACCGAUAACGUAACCAAGAUUCCCGAUUUCGGAUUCGUUCGAGCGCUGCCUCUUCUCGAAUGAUCUCGACUCGACUUACAGGUUCAGGUCUCGAUGCUGAGUAACGGCCACUGAAGGUUUGGAAAUCGAUGCCCAACCUCGGAAUACCGGACGGAAGAAAGGGAACAGGUGCAGAAGAAAAUUCGGAUAGGUUUAGGGUAUCGGUUACAAAGCUCGGCAAGCGCCGACCCUUUACAAGCCUGAGCCGCAUCAAGACGGCAUUGUUGAGGAAAAUUUACGAAUGGCAAGCGCGCGGGUGGUGCGAGAGCGUGAACGAGCGUAACGAGUUUCUCGGCGAAGCAUGAGUCUGAUUUAUGCGAGACUGUAAAAAAAGAUCUCUCGUCUGCCGAGAGAGGAGCCAUCGGCCGAUCGAAAUCUUGCGACGAGUCUGUUGUCCUUCCUUCUUACCUUCUUUUGUGUCCAUUGUCACGUGACGAGGGUACAAUUAACAAAUUA